rnacentral:rRNA from 1 species
UACGAAGGGUGCAAGCGUUAAUCGGAAUUACUGGGCGUAAAGCGUGCGUAGGCGGCUUGUUAAGUCCGUUGUGAAAGCCCUGGGCUCAACCUGGGAAUUGCAGUGGAUACUGGCAAGCUAGAGUCAGGUAGAGGGUGGUGGAAUUCCCGGUGUAGCGGUGAAAUGCGUAGAGAUCGGGAGGAACAUCUGUGGCGAAGGCGGCCACCUGGACCAUGACUGACGCUGAGGCACGAAAGCGUGGGGAGCAAACAGG